UACGUAGGGUGCGAGCGUUAAUCGGAAUUACUGGGCGUAAAGCGUGCGCAGGCGGGCUUUUAAGCCAGACGUGAAAUCCCCGGGCUUAACCUGGGAAUGGCGUUUGGGACUGGAAGUCUGGAGUGCGGCAGAGGAGACUGGAAUUCCUGGUGUAGCAGUGAAAUGCGUAGAUAUCAGGAGGAACACCGAUGGCGAAGGCAGGUCUCUGGGCUGACACUGACGCUCAUGCACGAAAGCGUGGGGAGCAAACGAGG
rnacentral:rRNA from 1 species